rnacentral:rRNA from 1 species
UCCGGCUGGUGAGCGCCCGCCAAAGAAUCCCAAAACUCUGAAUAUUUGUGUCGUCUGAGUACUAUAUAAUAGUUAAAACUUUCAACAACGGAUCUCUUGGUUCUGGCAUCGAUGAAGAACGCAGCGAAAUGCGAUAAGUAAUGUGAAUUGCAGAAUUCAGUGAAUCAUCGAAUCUUUGAACGCACAUUGCGCCCCUUGGUAUUCCGAGGGGCAUGCCCGUUCGAGCGUCAUUAUAACCCCUCAAGCCUAGCUUGGUGUUGGGGCCUGCUGUUACCGGCAGCCCUUAAAAUCAGUGGCGGUGCCAUCUGGCUCUAAGCGUAGUAAUACUUCUCGCUACAGGGUCCUGGUGGAUACUUGCCAUCAACCCCUAAAUUUCUAUGGUUGACCUCGGAUCGGGUAGGGAUACCCGCUGAACUUAAGCAUAUCAAUAAGCGGAGGAAAAGAAACCAACAGGGAUUGCCUUAGUAACGGCGAGUGAAGCGGCAACAGCUCAAAUUUGAAAUCUGGCUCUUUCAGAGUCCGAGUUGUAAUUUGUAGAAGAUGCUUCGAGUGUGGUACCGGUCUAAGUUCCUUGGAACAGGACGUCAUAGAGGGUGAGAAUCCCGUAUGUGACUGGUCACCUUCGCUCAUGUGAAGCUCUUUCGACGAGUCGAGUUGUUUGGGAAUGCAGCUCAAAAUGGGUGGUAAAUUUCAUCUAAAGCUAAAUAUUGGCCAGAGACCGAUAGCGCACAAGUAGAGUGAUCGAAAGAUGAAAAGCACUUUGGAAAGAGAGUUAAACAGUACGUGAAAUUGUUGAAAGGGAAGCGCUUGCAACCAGACUUGCACGUAGUUAAUCAUCCGGGGUUCUCCCCGGUGCACUUGGCUACGUUCAGGCCAGCAUCGGUUUUGGUGGUUGGAUAAAGGCCUAGGGAAUGUGG